rnacentral:rRNA from 1 species
GUAGGUGGCAAGCGUUGUCCGGAAUUAUUGGGCGUAAAGCGCGCGCAGGCGGUUCUUUAAGUCUGAUGUGAAAGCCCACGGCUCAACCGUGGAGGGUCAUUGGAAACUGGAGAACUUGAGUACAGAAGAGGAAAGCGGAAUUCCACGUGUAGCGGUGAAAUGCGUAGAGAUGUGGAGGAACACCAGUGGCGAAGGCGGCUUUCUGGUCUGUAACUGACGCUGAGGCGCGAAAGCGGGGGGAGCAAACAGGGAUUAGAUACCCUGGUAGUCCACGCCGUAAACGAUGAGUGCUAAGUGUUAGGGGGUUUCCCGCCCCUUAGUGCUGCAGCUAACGCAUUAAGCACUCCGCCUGGGGAGUACGGCCGCAAGGCUG